rnacentral:rRNA from 1 species
AGGCCGAAAGGCGUAGUCGAUGGGAAACAGGUUAAUAUUCCUGUACUUGGUGUUACUGCGAAGGGGGGACGGAGAAGGCUAUGUUAGCCGGGCGACGGUUGUCCCGGUUUAAGCAUGUAGGCUGGUUGUCCAGGCAGAUCCAGAUAAUCAAGGCUGAGGUGUGAUGACGAGGCACUACGGUGCUGAAGUAACAAAUGCCCUGCUUCCAGGAAAAGCCUCUAAGCAUCAGGUAACAUCAAAUCGUACCCCAAA